rnacentral:rRNA from 1 species
UACCCGCAGCACAAGUGGUGGUCAUUAUUAUUGGGCCUAAAGCGUCCGUAGCUGGCGUGUUAGAUGCCUGGGUAAAUCGAUGCGCUCAACGUAUCGAAUUCCGGGUAGACCGGCACGCUCGAGACCGGGAGAGGCGUGGGGUACUCGGGGGGUAGGGGUAAAAUCCUGUAAUCCUCCGGGGACGACCAGUGGCGAAGGCGCCACGCUAGAACGGCUCUGACAGUGAGGGACGAAGCCCUGGGGCGCAAACCGG